rnacentral:rRNA from 1 species
AUAUCAAUAAGCGGAGGAAAAGAAACUAACAAGGAUUCCCUCAGUAACGGCGAGUGAAGAGGGAAGAGCUCAGUUUUGAAAUCUGGCAGUCAUUCACUGUCCGAGUUGUAAAUUGAAGAGAGUGUCAUCCACGCUGGACCAUGUCUAAAUUGUAAUGAUCCACAGUCCUUUGAUGGAGUAUCAGAGAGGGUAAUAAUCCCGUCUUUAACGUGGACUCCCAGUGUUUAUGUGAUGCACUCUCUCAGAGUCGAGUAGUUUGGGAAUGCUGCUCUAAUGGGAGGUAAACUCCUUCUAAAGCUAAAUAUUGGCGAGAGACCGAUAGCGAACAAGUACCGUGAGGGAAAGAUGAAAAGAACUCUGAAAAGAGAGUCAAACAGAAC